rnacentral:rRNA from 1 species
UGAAAGUUUGCGGCUCAACCGUGGAAGGUCAUUGGAAACUGGGAAACUUGAGUGCAGAAGAGGAAAGUGGAAUUCCAUGUGUAGCGGUGAAAUGCGCAGAGAUAUGGAGGAACACCAGUGGCGAAGGCGACUUUCUGGUCUGUAACUGACGCUGAUGUGCGAAAGCGUGGGGAUCAAACAG